UACAGAGGUCUCAAGCGUUGUUCGGAUUCAUUGGGCGUAAAGGGCGCGUAGGCUGCGGGGUAAGUCGGGUGUGAAAUCUCAGAGCUCAACUCUGAAACUGCACUCGAUACUGCUUUGCUUGAGGACUGGAGAGGAGAUUGGAAUUCACGGUGUAGCAGUGAAAUGCGUAGAUAUCGUGAGGAAGACCAGUGGCGAAGGCGGGUCUCUGGACAGUUCCUGACACUGAGACACGAAGGCCAGGGGAGCAAACGGG
rnacentral:rRNA from 1 species